AGUCACUAUACAGAGUUCAUUGGGUCAUGCGGAUUUUGUAACAAGCGAAAACGACGACGACGAUGAGGACGACGAGGAUGAUGAUGACGCCAAGUAUAGGGAAAGGAUUGGAUUAGAAGGUCCUUGGUCGUAGAGUUCACCCAUAAUGUUUGUUGUUAUUGCUUCCGUUCAAUCCGUGCUCUGAGAUUAGAAAAGCUCAGGAAGGACCAACAAAAUAAACGUGAGCCCUAUAGAAGACGCAGCUGAGGUAUAUCGGCACCAUUUUAUUCCUAUACAAACAAACUUCUGCAAGUCUCGACAUCAUUGCAAGUACUACAGGAUUGUUGGGUCAGCUUGAAUGGUAAUUCGAUCUCUUUUGCCAUUGUUCGCCUAUUGCCUUUGAGUUAAGAGAUUAUACCAAAGAAUGGAGGAAUUGGAUUCUUUUUUCACCUUCACACUAUCACGAAAGCUUUGUACUUUAAGGUUUAUCAAGGAAAUUGAAUCAAUAUCAAGAUGGAAUAACGAAGAGCCAACGAGCGUAUCUAACGCACUUCUUUUGGUGUUCUUAUAUUAUCUCUUAUUUUAUAAAAAAAACUAAUCUAAAGACAAAAGGAUAUUAACCUACACCUUAAGGCUUUUAAUCCUUGGAAUUAAUAACAGGAAAAUUACAUUUUUUGAUUAAAACAACGUAAAGUAGGGAGGAAUUACGUGAAUGACUUAAGCUGUGUUAUGCUACACAAAGCAAGUAAAAACUUUGAAAAUGGCAAAAAAUGUAAGUCAUUCUAAGAGUUUAUAAAUAAAGCUUUUCCAAAGAAAUCAAUUUGGUCUUCAUCACUCCGGGCACUCAACAUUCCCACAGUUCUUAAACGAAGAACAAAACAAACACACAAAAUUCAAAAGACAUAACAAUUCCAUCAAAGACUUGCGUCUUGGUCUUUGGUUUGUCGAAUGUUAAUCUCACAAAGAAUUGACCAUCAGAUUAUAGAAAGGUCCAUUCUUUCAAGCCAUCUCAUGCCCAUUGCCCAUCCAUCGGUCUUAAUACAUUGGGAAGGUAAUUAUGCUAUAACAAUCAUUAGACUUGUAUAAAUGCAGCGACACGAAUCAAGAGUGUUUUCUUUGCCCUUUGUGAAUCAUAAUGUAGAAAGUUUUGAAGAUCAUUUUUGUGUGGAUUUGUUUGACAUUGCCCCAACAUAUAACACUUACCUUUAUUUUCUAAACUACUGUGUAACCUUUAAAGAAAUCCAAUUAUUCUCUUGGGAGGGAAUUAUUCAGUCAACUUUUUUCUUAUUCAAUAAAAGUAGCUCCAUGACAAAAGGCUAUCGUAUCGUUGACUGGAUUUUAUUUUGACACCAAAAAUUAUUUCUCACGUUGACAUUCCUAAAUCGAGGUUAUAAGCCAUUGUAAUUGACACACAAAGAUUACAUUUACAUUAGAGUAUUUAUAGUGUUUUUUUUUAAGCUUGGGAUUUUUGAGAUAAUCACUUCAAACGUGUCGUAGGUACAUAUAUAAAAACAUGAUGGUGGUGCAACUUGAGAAAUAAGGUACAUGAAGUUACUUAAGACCUUUUCCAUUUUCCUCAAACUCUCUUUGAAAAAUAAAAACCCUGAAUUUUAACUUAUUUCUUUUUUUAAGGACUCUUAUCUUUUUUGUUAACUUUUCUUUAACGAGUUUGAAUUGAAUUAAAAAACAUUUACGACGACAACCAAUGAAUUUGAUACGAGUAUCGUAAUAAAAUAAAAUACAAAAAAGGCCAACCCCCAAUUUUAAUAAAAUGCACAUAAAAAUGAUAUUUAUGUGUGUCAAGUAAAGGCAUUCAACAUUUUAGCAUCAGACUCAAGUCGUCAAGUAAAAGUAGCAGAAAAAAAAUGGUGGCGUACUUUACUUAUGUAAAUUUUGUCAACACAAGACGAAAAUAUUCUUCUUCCUUCCUUGAUGCCUAAUAUAAUUUUAAUGACAAAAUGAUAAC